UUGCAUCCUCGCGACUAAUGACAAUCCUAACCCAGCCGGGUAAAGCCUCUCAUUAGCCGCGCGAACCUCUGCAACAGAAGAUCAUUCAUAACAACAAUACAUUAUUGUACUGUUAAUUGCUGCCGCCUGGUUGAAAAAAGGGGCCUUACGGCCCCUUU
rnacentral:sRNA from 1 species